GUAACUAAAGCUUUUUAGAAGCACCAAUCUUGUAAAUUGGAAGAGGAACCCCAUUCUAGUUACU
rnacentral:tRNA from 1 species